rnacentral:rRNA from 1 species
UACAGAGGUCUCAAGCGUUGUUCGGAUUCAUUGGGCGUAAAGGGUGCGUAGGCGGCGCGGUAAGUCGGGUGUGAAAUCUCGGAGCUUAACUCCGAAACUGCAUUCGAUACUGCCGUGCUUGAGGACUGGAGAGGAGACUGGAAUUUACGGUGUAGCGGUGAAAUGCGUAGAUAUCGUAAGGAAGACCAGUGGCGAAGGCGGGUCUCUGGGCAAUUCCUGACGCUGAGGCGCGAAAGCGUGGGGAGCAAACGGG